GACAAGCUCAUUUGGCAGAGCAUGAGACUCUCAAUCUCAGGGUAGUGGGUUUGACACCCACGUUGGGCA